AAUGAAGGAACUGACAGGCUGUAGGAAUUACUGAGCUAUUAGAUCAUCUCAGAUAAAGUGUGAUACUCAAUGGGAGGAGUGAGUAUUUUGACUGUUCCUUUGCUCAGCAUUCUUGAACAGAACACUCUCUACUUCCCAUACCAGAUGGAGGUGUGGCAGCAUAUUGAAGUCAUUGGCAAAGAAGGAAGACAAAUAUUGUAAAUCAUUCCAAAGUGGAGACACCUUGAGGGAAUCCCUGGGGAAUUAGCCAAGAAUGUGUUGUAGAAGGAAAGGGAACCAUAAUAUUUAUCAGUUGUUCUUAGUCAGAAGAUGAAAAGAAAUGCAGAUAUAUAAAGAUGAAAGGAAAUGUCAGAAAGCCUGAUUUAUAUUAUGAGCAAAACAAAUGUCAUUGUGUCUUUCUAAUAAUUAUGAACCCUAGACAAAAAGUGGAUACGUUUUAAAAUCCCCAUGUUGAAACUGGAAUUACUAUUGCAAUAUACCUCAGUAAUGCAAAGGCUGAUUUAAUUUCUCUCACAAAAGAUAAAACAAUUUAUCGAUGGCAUUGACCAGGGAAGUGGCUUGCUAGGUAUACUGUGAUGAAGAAAAUAUUCUUGCCUUAUUUUAUUUUCGAAUUGAUUUCUAAUUUAAAGAAUAGUAUUUUUUUUUUAUCAUUUGCCAAUAAGGCAGCCUUAAACUAUUGUCUACAUUGUAUCAUGAGAGAUGAUAAUAUACACUGGGGUUCAGUAUCAGUUAAUGUGGCCAUAAGUACCUUGAGAAAAUAAUUAACAUUAAAGUAGGAGAAAAGAAACUGGUAAGGGUAAUUGCCAAAACCCUCAUUAGCAAGAACACUAAAUAUUCAAUAUAAUGAAGGAAUAAUAGAGUAAAAAUAACACCGGUUCUUAUGGAAUGGUAUAUAUUUAAUUCCAGGAUGGGAGGACCAUUUUGACUGGCAACAUUAUAAAAUCCUGUUUCCCACUCUUUCCCUUAGCAGCUGGGAAUUUUCAUCAAGUCCCCGCAGAAGAUUGUGCUUCGGUUCAAUUAUGACAUAGAUCAUUUGGAAAUGUAGCUUAUUUUUAAUUUUGAUGGUUUUCCUUACUCAAUAAGCACACUACAUAAGAACGAUCCUGAUUAUUCUGUUUUGAGGACACUAUUUUCAUUUAUUAACCACCUAUGCAAUGAAGAAUUGAAGAUCUAUCUAUACUCUAUAGCCGUGGGUCAGAAUAGCAAGGUAACAAUUAGGAUAAACAACUCUAUAAGGUAAAUGUAGCAGACAAAUCAGCUACUUCAAUGGGAAAAAAGUUUGAUUUAUGACCAAGUUGUCAAAGAAAGUCUGGUAAGAACUAAGGAACAAUGGAAAAUUAGUCUCUUGUGCCUAGAGAAUUGGGAACUUGGACUAAAUGCUAUUAUUGGCAAGAGUUUUACUUCAUUCUUCACAGUGUGAUUCUCAUCCAACUCUUUCAAAAGGGUAACCAUAUUUAAUACAAUAACUGGAAGUAAAGUGGGUCAUAAUUAUGAUCAUAAUGAGGAUACAUCUUCUAAUGUUCCUCUUGAAUGUGUUUAAUACAUCCAUAAGUUAUUUGAAAGAGAGAUAAAUUCUGUCCUCUACAUCUCAUGGUACUCUGUGCAGUGUUGUGCAAACUCUUCAUCAGCUAAUCAUCAUUAAGUCCUGCAAUGUUGUAAAAGUGCUGUCUGUACUAUAUGACAGAGAAAUCACAUCACCAUUUAUGUCCCUCCGUACUUUUGGACAAUUUUAAAUUAGUUUCUCUGACUUCAC
rnacentral:lncRNA from 1 species